rnacentral:rRNA from 1 species
ACGCUGGCGGCAGGCUUAACACAUGCAAGUCGAACGGUAACAGGAGAAAGCUUGCUUUCUUGCUGACGAGUGGCGGACGGGUGAGUAAUGCUUGGGAAUCUGGCUUAUGGAGGGGGAUAACGACGGGAAACUGUCGCUAAUACCGCGUAGAGUCGAGAGACGAAAGUGCGGGACCGCAAGGCCGCAUGCCAUAGGAUGAGCCCAAGUGGGAUUAGGUAGUUGGUGGGGUAAUAGCCUACCAAGCCGACGAUCUCUAGCUGGUCUGAGAGGAUGACCAGCCACACCGGGACUGAGACACGGCCCGGACUCCUACGGGAGGCAGCAGUGGGGAAUAUUGCGCAAUGGGGGCAACCCUGACGCAGCCAUGCCGCGUGAAUGAAGAAGGCCUUCGGGUUGUAAAGUUCUUUCGGUAUUGAGGAAGGUUGUUGUGUUAAUAGCACGACAAAUUGACGUUAAAUACAGAAGAAGCACCGGCUAACUCCGUGCCAGCAGCCGCGGUAAUACGGAGGGUGCGAGCGUUAAUCGGAAUAACUGGGCGUAAAGGGCACGCAGGCGGACUUUUAAGUGAGGUGUGAAAUCCCCGGGCUCAACCUGGGAAUUGCAUUUCAGACUGGGAGUCUAGAGUACUUUAGGGAGGGGUAGAAUUCCACGUGUAGCGGUGAAAUGCGUAGAGAUGUGGAGGAAUACCGAAGGCGAAGGCAGCCCCUUGGGAAUGUACUGACGCUCAUGUGCGAAAGCGUGGGGAGCAAACAGGAUUAGAUACCCUGGUAGUCCACGCUGUAAACGCUGUCGAUUUGGGGAUUGGGCUUUAAGCUUGGUGCCCGAAGCUAACGUGAUAAAUCGACCGCCUGGGGAGUACGGCCGCAAGGUUAAAACUCAAAUGAAUUGACGGGGGCCCGCACAAGCGGUGGAGCAUGUGG